AUUGAACGCUGGCGGCAUGCUUUACACAUGCAAGUCGAACGGCAGCGGGGGUGCUUGCACCUGCCGGCGAGUGGCGAACGGGUGAGUAACAUAUUGGAAUGUACCGAGUAGUGGGGGAUAACCAAUCGAAAGAUUGGCUAAUACCGCAUACGUCCUAAGGGGGAAAGCAGGGGAUCUUCGGACCUUGCGCUAUUUGAGCAGCCAAUAUCUGAUUAGCUAGUUGGUGGGGUAAAGGCCCACCAAGGCGACGAUCAGUAGCGGGUCUGAGAGGAUGAUCCGCCACACUGGGACUGAGACACGGCCCAGACUCCUACGGGAGGCAGCAGUGGGGAAUUUUGGACAAUGGGGGCAACCCUGAUCCAGCCAUGCCGCGUGUCUGAAGAAGGCCUUCGGGUUGUAAAGGACUUUUGUUAGGGAAGAAAAGAGAAGUGCUAAUACCACUUUUUGCUGACGGUACCUAAAGAAUAAGCCCGG
rnacentral:rRNA from 1 species